rnacentral:rRNA from 1 species
AAGUCCCGUAACGAGCGCAACCCUUAUCAUUAGUUGCUACGCAAGGGCACUCUAAUGAGACUGCCGGUGACAAACCGGAGGAAGGUGGGGAUGACGUCAGGUCAUCAUGGCCCUUAUGGGUAGGGCUACACACGUCAUACAAUGGCCGGUACAGAGGGCUGCCAACCCGCGAGGGGGAGCUAAUCUCAGAAAACCGGUCGUAGUCCGGAUCGCAGUCUGCAACUCGACUGCGUGAAGUCGGAAUCGCUAGUAAUCGCGGAUCAGCUUGCCGCGGUGAAUACGUUCCCGGGUCUUGUACACACCGCCCGU